GAAAUGCGAUACGUCAUGCGAAUUGCAAAACCAGUGAGUCAUCAAAACUUUGAACGCAACUUGCACUUCCCUUUGGGGAGUAUGUCUGUUGGAGUGCUUGUUCAUCCCCACCACAAACCCCAUUUCCUAAUAAAAGUGGGGAUUCAUUUGUGAAGCCUACCUAUUCAGUUACUCAGUAGCUCAAUAGAGUAUAGAUGAAUAAAAAUCAAAUAUCCGAUCCGAAUCAGUUUACUCUUCGGAGUAAAUACGAUUUAGGAACGCGACGUCAUAGUGUUAAAACUUGAAUCGUGUUAAUAAAAUCUUAAUGAUGAUCUCGGUAUAUUUUUCGAUCGAGCCUCCAAUCAGUCAAGAAUACCCGCUGAAUUUAA
rnacentral:misc_RNA from 1 species